ACGAGCGGCGGACGGGUGAGUAAUACUUAGGAAUCUACCUAGUAGUGGGGGAUAGCUCGGGGAAACUCGAAUUAAUACCGCAAACGACCUACGGGAGAAAGGGGGCAACUUGUUGCUCUCGCUAUUAGAUGAGCCUAAGUCGGAUUAGCUAGAUGGUGGGGUAAAGGCCUACCAUGGCGACGAUCUGUAGCUGGUCUGAGAGGAUGAUCAGCCACACCGGGACUGAGACACGGCCCGGACUCCUACGGGAGGCAGCAGUGGGGAAUAUUGGACAAUGGGGGCAACCCUGAUCCAGCCAUGCCGCGUGUGUGAAGAAGGCCUUUUGGUUGUAAAGCACUUUAAGCAGUGAAGAAGACUCUAGGGUUAAUACCCUUAGACGAUGACAUUAGCUGCAGAAUAAGCACCGGCUAACUCUGUGCCAGCAGCCGCGGUAAUACAGAGGGUGCAAGCGUUAAUCGGAAUUACUGGGCGUAAAGCGAGCGUAGGUGGCUUGAUAAGUCAGAUGUGAAAGCCCCGGGCUCAACCUGGGAACGGCAUCUGAUACUGUUAGGCUAGAGUAGGUGAGAGGAAGGUAGAAUUCCAGGUGUAGCGGUGAAAUGCGUAGAGAUCUGGAGGAAUACCGAUGGCGAAGGCAGCCUUCUGGCAUCAUACUGACACUGAGGUUCGAAAGCGUGGGUAGCAAACAGGAUUAGAUACCCUGGUAGUCCACGCCGUAAACGAUGUCUACUAGUCGUUGGGUCCCU
rnacentral:rRNA from 1 species